rnacentral:tRNA from 1 species
UUCAACCCCCUCCCCUAUUA